rnacentral:rRNA from 1 species
UACGUAGGGUGCGAGCGUUGUCCGGAAUUAUUGGGCGUAAAGAGCUCGUAGGCGGCUUGUCGCGUCGGAUGUGAAAGCCCCGGGGCUUAACCCCGGGUCGCAGUGGAUACGGGCAGGCUAGAGGUAGGUAGGGGAGAAUGGAAUUCCCGGUGUAGCGGUGAAAUGCGCAGAUAUCGGGAGGAACACCGGUGGCGAAGGCGGUUCUCUGGGCCUUACCUGACGCUGAGGAGCGAAAGCGUGGGGAGCGAACAGG